rnacentral:lncRNA from 1 species
GGGCCACGCUGACCCCAGCAUCACACGGAAGGCUGGGACGUGCCCCCUCCCCCAAGAGCAGUUUCGGCUACUCUGUGUCCCCCUUUUAUGGGCUGCACGACGUGGCAGCAUUUUAACCGCCCCUUCUCAAUGCACAGCCCGGACAGGCUGUUCUCAACACUCUCUACUGCAAACUACACACAGUUUUACGUCGCCAGAAAGACCCCAAAUUUCUAUUCAAAAAGACCGUACCAGUUUCAGUUCCCGCCAACCUCAAAGGCAGAGACAAAAGGACGGUGUGCCCCUCCUGUAACUUCAUUUCUUCGGUGACUGUGAAGCUGAGGGCAGAGUCCACGCCUGGGGACAGGGCUGCCACCGCAGCGGCCACUGCGUCCAACCCUCGCUCCUCCUCCCAGAGACGACCUGCGUUCCGCUCAGGGACAGGGCUGCCAACGCAGCGGCCACCGCACCCAACGCUCGCUCCUCCUCCCAGAGACAACCUGAGCUCUGCUCAGAAGCGGCACCUCCUCAUGCUGGACUCACUCGGGCCCACAUGUGCCAAGGGGGCCUGGUUUUGGGGCCGGCGGGUUCUGCCUGAUGCUCAGAGGGUAACUGGAUGCUGAAAACUGUGAGUCUUUCUUCAACUCAGGGGAAUGUUUCCAGGGCACGCCAGGCCUCACUCACGCAGGCCUCCGCGACAACUGUUCAGCACUGACUGAGGGUGAAGUGAAAUCCUGAAAGCUGAGAGCCAGCGCCCUCACACGAGGGCUGGGACGUAACAAAAGCCCAUCAAGAGUUUUGCCCAGGGCUUUCUUGGGCCUUGAAGCAUGACGAGACCAGGACCCGUUUAGGAUUAAACAAGUUUUACUGGGGGUCUGAAAAAACUCCCCAGGCCUCCACAAACAAGUGGAGAAGGAACUCCCCAAACCUCCAUGAUUUAGCAGAAGACAAGAUAAGGGUAAACACCUGGGCCCAUUUAGAUCAAGUAAAUUUACUGAGUCUUCAGAGGAAGAUCUUCAGGACCAGACCUCAGUUAGAGAUGAGAAGAAUUGAAUCACGUACGUCUUUAGACGAAUGCACACUGACACGGAGACACAGAGCUUAGAAGGUGUGUAAGCUCUGGAAAAACUGUAAUCUGGAGUUGGUCUGGCGAUCAUUUCCAGGCCUUCUCCCUGUAACCAGUUACAGAAAUAAAAUCCCUCUUCUUCCCCAGUUCAUCUGCAUCUCGCUAUCGGGCCUCGGGAAUGAGCAACCCGACCCUGGGUUUGGUCCGGGAACGUUUUGUUCUCUGCGUGAACUGCUUUCUCAUCUGUGGUCUUUUCUGUCUUCUGGGACUCCUGUUGUUGGCACGUGGGCUCCUCCCGGGCCACUUUCCCUUUACCUGGCAGGAUCCUCUCCUGUGCCUUUCCUGGGCUGAGGGGGGAGGGAGGGAGGGAGGGAGGGUGGCCUGCCGAGGUCCCUGGGCUAAGAGGGGAGAGUGGCCUGCAGAGGUCCCUGGGCUGAGGGGGGAGGGAGGGUGGCCUGCGGAGGUCCCUGGGUUGAGGGGGAGGGAAGGUGGCCUGCGGAGGUCCCUGGGCUGAGGGGGGAGGGAGGGUGGCCUGCGGAGGUCCCUGGGCUGAGGGGGGAGGGAAGGUG